rnacentral:rRNA from 1 species
UACGGAGGGGGCUAGCGUUGUUCGGAAUUACUGGGCGUAAAGGGCGCGCAGGCGGCUGCUCAAGUCAGGCGUGAAAGGCCUGGGCUCAACCCGGGAAUUGCGCUUGAGACUGGGCUGGCUUGAGUGCGGGAGAGGAUGGUGGAAUUCCCAGUGUAGAGGUGAAAUUCGUAGAUAUUGGAAGAACACCAGUGGCGAAGGCGGCUCACUGGACCGGUAUUGACGCUGAGGUGCGAA